rnacentral:misc_RNA from 1 species
GACAAAAGCUCUAUAUUAUAACUAGGCAACAAAAUCAAAUAUACACUCUGAGUCUAACUAUUUACAGGAACCAAGUGACUUAACACUUCGUGCCACUUUCAAUCAGAUUGAUUGCUGGCCAUUGAUGUUAAAAUAAUUUGAAGAAUUUAAAUCCUGACCUAUGGGAAAUAUCAAAUACAGAUAUGAUGAUUUCAACGCUAAUUAAAAUGAUAAUGAGCCAUUCCAAGAAGUCUGAUUUCCUAUUCUGCAGAAUUUCCUGAAGAAAGCGAAUAUUAUGCUCCACAAACUUCAACUUAAAAUCAAGACUUGCAAACCUUUGAGUUAAUUCAAAUUCAUCUCUUAGAUAUUCCCAUAUCUGAGCAUAUUUGGCAUCUUUCCAAGCAAUAUCUGAUCUCUCAAAAAGUCCAAGCUUAAGAAUAACAUCAGCAAGAUUAGAGUUUGCCUUCCCCACUAGUUGAAAAAGUUUUUUGCUAUCCAUGGAAAAUGUUCCAGUUUUUUCCAUCCCACGAUUUAUGUCGGUAAAUUCAGCAACCAUCCCAUCAACCUGGCGUCCAUAGUAAUCAAGAGCAAUACUUUGACCAAGAACACUGCCAAUUAUGCGAAUUCCAUCAAUAUUCAAGAACUGUAACAUUAUGUAAUCCAAUCCUCCUUGCAUCCACGUGUUCAAAGUUGGCUUCUCUCUCACCUCAUAUUCAUCCUUUCUCAUUUCAGGAAGCAAUCCUGAUGCAUGUUUUCUUACAAUUUUCAAGUAAUCAUCAACCUCAUGUUCACGGACAUUAAACAAGACAAUAGAGCCAUAUUGAAACACUACCAUGUAACAGCUAUUCCUUCCAGUUAUGCAAGUGCCCAAACCACUGGGUUCAGCGAGAUUCCCAAACUUAAGAACGACAUAGUUAGUCAUACGGGAAGUUGGUGGGAUGAAAUUGGGUUUGUUCUGUUCCACUAAGCUCUUCAAAUCCACACUGGUGGAGAAGAAAUAAGCUCGAACAGGAAUUGAAGACUUGGAAUCCUCUACCACAGGGCGGUUGUUUCCAUCAUUUUCAAAUUCGGAGGUCGACACUGGUUCGUUCCAGUCUACCGUCGCCUGCUGCUGCGGCGCGGAGGCUGAGGAGAUUGACGAGACACACCUCAAAAACGCCAAACUAGUAGUGCUACUACUGCCACAAUGUGGACGGCCAGUAAAACUGAGAAUUGGAGAAAAGGAAGUAGAAAUUGAGUAAACAGUUAGGGUUUUGGGGAAGGAGAAAUGGUGAGAGCGUGGCUUUGGUAGAGGGAGAGAGCAACAAGGGUUUGAUUGCGAGAGAAGGAUGGCACGGACAGGUAAGCGAAUGGCUUUCAGGUGAGCGUCUAUGCUCCGCCACAUUUUGGCGGCUAAGAGAGGCGGAAUAGAAGAGACGGAGGAGGAGGGUUUGGGUUUUGUGUUGGGGUUUAAAUUGGGUUUUUCUUGUUACGGAAUGGGAU